GAGAAAAAUCUAUCAAGCUUCAUUAUAAUGGUCUUCGCUGUAGUGAAGGAAGAUUUUCUAUAGUGAAGGCAGCAAAGCUGCGAGGCUUCGGUAUAGCGAAUGGGAUGACUCAUUCACUAUAGCAAAGGCCAAAAUAUUUUAUUCAGUAUUUAAGAUAGUUUUUCACCCAAGUCUUGAUCAUAACUUUCUAUACUCAACCAAAGAACACCUAGGACGGCCUUUUCGAGGCUUAAGGCUAUCUCCUAUUGAGACUUUGAGCAUUCUCAGGCAUUGAAGAAGGAGAAAGCUCCGACAAUCUAGAUUGUUCACUUUCAACUCAUCAGUUGAGAAUGAGAUCUAGAGGCGUCUACCAGACCCCGCAUUUAGAAAAGUUAUUUCCGGAUCUUAGGGUGAGCUACUUGAGUUUAAGCUGCUGUAGAUCUUUUUAUUUUUUAUGUCUUUCCUUCUAGACAUUGAGAUUCCUUAGUUAUUAGUAUUACUAUUUCUUAGACUUGUUAGUUAGAUGUUUUAAUACAAUAACUUUGGA